AUUGAACGCUGGCGGCAGGCCUAACACAUGCAAGUCGAACGAGUGGCGGACGGGUGAGUAAUGUCUGGGAAACUGCCCGAUGGAGGGGGAUAACUAAUGGAAACGGUAGCUAAUACCGCAUACCAUCGGAUGUGCCCAGAUGGGAUUAGCUAGUAGGUGGGGUAAAGGCUCACCUAGGCGACGAUCCCUAGCUGGUCGGAGAGGAUGACCCGCCCCACUGGAAUUGAGACACGGUCCAGCCUCCUACGGGAGGAAGCAGUGGGUAAUAUUGCACAAAGUGCGCAAGCCUGAUGCAGCCAUGCCGCGUGUAUGAAGAAGGCCUUCGGGUUGUAAAGCACUUUCAUCGGGGAGGCGUUACCCGCAGAAGAAGCACCGGCUAACUCCGUGCCAGCAGCGGCGGUAAUAC
rnacentral:rRNA from 1 species